UCCAAUAAGUCCACCAUUUUCCAUAUUCCAUUCUUUCAAUUCCUGUCAAUUCUUCCAUCAUUGCAUUUUGCCAUUAUUCUUUAUCGACUGCUUCUUCAUAGGUUAUCAUAUCUGAAACAACAAGAGCAAAUUAGCAAGAUUCAUAUAUUUCUCUCAAAGAUCUAAAUUUCCUGGGUGGUGUCUCAUCUGAUGAAGAACUUUGAAUUGGUGAUGUUAAGUUUGAUGAAUUUGGUGAUGUCAUAGAGGAACCAACUGCCAAAUUUGUAGGAGUUAACUCUACACUUUUGUUUGGAAAAGUUCCAAGAGGAAUUUGUUGUGUCUUCUCAUCACUUCCAUGGCAAUUCCAGAUUGCAU
rnacentral:lncRNA from 1 species